rnacentral:rRNA from 1 species
CACGUAGGGCGCAAGCGUUUGUCCGGAAUUAUUGGGCGUAAAGAGCUCGUAGGCGGUCUGUUGCGUCCGCUGUGAAAACUCGGGGCUUAACCCCGAGCCUGCAGUGGAUACGGGCAGACUAGAGGUAGGUAGGGGAGAAUGGAAUUCCCGGUGUAGCGGUGAAAUGCGCAGAUAUCGGGAGGAACACCGGUGGCGAAGGCGGCGUCCUGGACCAACACUGACACUGAUGAGCGAAAGCCAGGGGAGCAAACGGGG